GAUGAACGCUGGCGGCGUGCCUAAUACAUGCAAGUCGAGCGAACAGAUAAGGAGCUUGCUCCUUUGAAGUUAGCGGCGGACGGGUGAGUAACACGUGGGUAACCUACCUAUAAGACUGGGAUAACUUCGGGAAACCGGAGCUAAUACCGGAUAACAUUUAGAACCGCAUGGUUCUAAAGUGAAAGAUGGUUUUGCUAUCACUUAUAGAUGGACCCGCGCCGUAUUAGCUAGUUGGUAAGGUAACGGCUUACCAAGGCGACGAUACGUAGCCGACCUGAGAGGGUGAUCGGCCACACUGGAACUGAGACACGGUCCAGACUCCUACGGGAGGCAGCAGUAGGGAAUCUUCCGCAAUGGGCGAAAGCCUGACGGAGCAACGCCGCGUGAGUGAUGAAGGGUUUCGGCUCGUAAAACUCUGUUAUUAGGGAAGAACAAAUGUGUAAGUAACUGUGCACAUCUUGACGGUACCUAACCAGAAAGCCACGGCUAACUACGUG
rnacentral:rRNA from 1 species